UACGAAGGGGGCUAGCGUUGUUCGGAUUUACUGGGCGUAAAGCGCACGUAGGCGGAUCUUUAAGUCAGAGGUGAAAUCCCAAGGCUCAACCUUGGAACUGCCUUUGAUACUGGAAAGCUCGAGUCCGGGAGAGGUGAGUGGAACUGCGAGUGUAGAGGUGAAAUUCGUAGAUAUUCGCAAGAACACCAGUGGCGAAGGCGGCUCACUGGCCCGGUACUGACGCUGAGGUGCGAAAGCGUGGGGAGCAAACAGG
rnacentral:rRNA from 1 species